GGAGUAGACCAGACGAUCGCUGGCUUUGUCGUUGACAAGGCUGGAGGAAAGUCCGAACACCACAGGGCAGGGUGCUCCAUAACGUGGAGUCACGGUGACGUGAAGGCAAGUGCAACAGAAAGCAAACCGCCUCGCCUUGGGCGGGGUAAGGGUGAAACGGUGCGGUAAGAGCGCACCAGUUCUCCGGGUGACCGGGGAAGCUGGGUAAACCCCACCCGGUGCAAGACCAAAUAGGGGAGUGCUUGAGGGCGGCCCGUCCGAGCUCCCGGGUAGGUCGCUAGAGGUGUCGGGUAACCGGCAUCCCAGAGGAAUGAUCGUCGCCCCCGGUGCCGGGUAACCGUCCGGGGGAACAGAAUUCGGCUUACGGGCUGCUCCGACC
rnacentral:RNase_P_RNA from 1 species